UACGAAGGGGGCUAGCGUUGCUCGGAAUCACUGGGCGUAAAGGGCGCGUAGGCGGGUCUUUAAGUCAGGGGUGAAAUCCUGGAGCUCAACUCCAGAACUGCCUUUGAUACUGAGGAUCUUGAGUACGGGAGAGGUGAGUGGAACUGCGAGUGUAGAGGUGAAAUUCGUAGAUAUUCGCAAGAACACCAGUGGCGAAGGCGGCUCACUGGCCCGUAACUGACGCUGAGGCACGAAAGCGUGGGGAGCAAACAGG
rnacentral:rRNA from 1 species